UACGUAGGGUGCGAGCGUUGUCCGGAUUUAUUGGGCGUAAAGAGCUCGUAGGCGGUUUGUUGCGUCGGCCGUGAAAACCUGCAGCUUAACUGUGGGCCUGCGGCCGAUACGGGCAGACUUGAGUUCGGUAGGGGAGACUGGAAUUCCUGGUGUAGCGGUGAAAUGCGCAGAUAUCAGGAGGAACACCGGUGGCGAAGGCGGUUCUCUGGGACGGUACUGACGCUGAGACGCGAAAGCGUGGGGAGCGAACAGG
rnacentral:rRNA from 1 species